rnacentral:rRNA from 1 species
ACCGGCGCACGGGUGCGUAACGCGUAUGCAAUCUACCUUGUACAGGGGAAUAGCCCAGAGAAAUUUGGAUUAAUGCCCCAUAGUAUAUAACCUUCGCAUGUUGGUUAUAUUAAAGUUCCAACAGUACAAGAUGAGCAUGCGUCCCAUUAGUUAGUUGGUAAGGUAACGGCUUACCAAGACGAUGAUGGGUAGGGGUCCUGAGAGGGAGAUCCCCCACACUGGUACUGAGACACGGACCAGACUCCUACGGGAGGCAGCAGUGAGGAAUAUUGGUCAAUGGUCGCAAGACUGAACCAGCCAUGCCGCGUGCAGGAAGACGGUCCUAUGGAUUGUAAACUGCUUUUAUACAGGAAGAAACCCUCCCACGUGUGGGAGCUUGACGGUACUGUAGGAAUAAGGAUCGGCUAACUCCGUGCCAGCAGCCGCGGUAAUGCGGAGGAUCCAAGCGUUAUCCGGAAUCAUUGGGUUUAAAGGGUCCGUAGGCGGUCUUAUAAGUCAGUGGUGAAAGCCCAUCGCUCAACGAUGGAACUGCCAUUGAUACUGUAAGACUUGAAUGCUUAGGAAGUAACUAGAAUAUGUAGUGUAGCGGUGAAAUGCUUAGAUAUUACAUGGAAUACCAAUUGCGAAGGCAGGUUACUACUAAGUGAUUGACGCUGAUGGACGAAAGCGUGGGGAGCGAACAGGAUUAGAUACCCUGGUA